rnacentral:rRNA from 1 species
AGAGUUUGAUCAUGGCUCAGAUUGAACGCUAGCGGGAUGCCUUACACAUGCAAGUCGAACGGCAGCACGGACUUCGGUCUGGUGGCGAGUGGCGAACGGGUGAGUAAUGUAUCGGAACGUGCCUAGUAGCGGGGGAUAACUACGCGAAAGCGUAGCUAAUACCGCAUACGCCCUACGGGGGAAAGCAGGGGAUCGUAAGACCUUGCACUAUUAGAGCGGCCGAUAUCGGAUUAGCUAGUUGGUGGGGUAAUGGCUCACCAAGGCAACGAUCGGUAGCCGGCCUGAGAGGGCGGACGGCCACACUGGGACUGAGACACGGCCCAGACUCCUACGGGAGGCAGCAGUGGGGAAUUGUUCGCAAUGGGCGCAAGCCUGACGACGCAACGCCGCGUGGAGGAUGAAGAUCUUCGGGUCGUAAACUCCUUUCGAUCGAGACGAACGGCCCUGGGGUGAACAAUCCCGGGGAGUGACGGUACCGAGAGAAGAAGCCCCGGCUAACUCCGUGCCAGCAGCCGCGGUAAUAC